AGCAAGACCCUUCUCCUCCUCCUCUUUUCCUUAAUUUCUGCUUUCUUUUUUUUUUAGUGUUCUUUUAGCUUUCUCAGCUUAAGGAGACUUAAGACACAGAAGAAUAGAAAACAAUCAAGAACAUUUUCCUCCGGAAUUUCAAUAUCCCUCUUCUUCUCUUCCUUCUCUUUUCUUGUUAAAGGGAAAUAAGAGAAAAGCAAAGGAAAAGAAUGAACAGAAAAGAGAAGCAAAGAAAAGGGGAGGCUUAGCUUCUUCCUUGUAUUUCAAGACUCUUUCUGUGAAGAUGUUUGAUUCCUUAAGCCCAUGCACACUUGAAGUUUCUCAGAUUCCCUUCACUUUUCCUUCCUUUUGUAGAAAAUCCAUCCAUACCCAAGUGCUUAAAUCCCUUUGUCUUUGCUUCAAGUCCUUCCAAACUCAAUUCCCCUGAGUAAGUUUUCACCAAAACAUGGUCCCCUUCAUUGCUUUAACCCUACUCUCUCUUCUUAGCACCUCUUGUUCUACUUCUUUACUUAAUGAUUUUAACGUUUUAGUUGUGCUUAAACAAGGAUUUGCUUUCCCUGAACCAGUCUUGAGCACGUGGAAUUCAUCGAAUCCAAGAUCAGUUUGUUCGUGGGCUGGAGUUGGUUGCUCUCGCGGGCGAGUUGUGUCAUUGGACUUGACAGAUUUGAAUCUGUCAGGUUCUGUUUCACCUCAGAUUUCAAGGCUUGAUAGGCUCACCAACUUGUCUCUUGCAGGAAACAACUUCACCGGUACCAUUGAGAUUUUCAGGCUGAGUAAUCUUCGGUUUCUUAACAUCUCAAACAAUCAAUUCAAUGGUGGCUUGGAUUGGAACUACUCUGAAAUGGAAAAGUUGGGAGUGUUUGAUGCUUACAAUAAUAACUUCACUGCUUUCCUUCCUCUUGGGAUUUUGAGCCUGAAAAAACUCAAGUACUUGGAUCUUGGUGGCAACUAUUUCUAUGGCAAAAUCCCUGCAAGCUAUGGGAAACUAGUGGGGUUGGAGUAUCUAUCACUCGCAGGAAAUGAUCUUCAUGGAAAAAUCCCUGCUGAAUUAGGAAACCUCACUAACUUGAGGGAGAUUUACUUGGGGUAUUACAAUGUUUUUGAAGGUGGGAUUCCUGCAGAGCUUGGAAAUUUGGUGAAUCUAGUUCACAUGAAUUCACCAGACUGUGGACUAGAUGGUCUAGUUCCGAGGGAGCUUGGAAACCUGAAGCUGCUUGAUACUCUAUAUUUGCAUGCCAAUCAUUUUUCAGGUUCUAUUCCAAAGGAGUUAGGCAACCUGACCAACUUGGUGAAUCUUGACCUCUCCAACAAUGCACUCACUGGUGAAAUCCCAAUUGAGUUCAUCAAUCUCAAGCAACUGAAGCUCUUCAAUCUCUUCUUGAAUAGACUACACGGUUCCAUUCCAGACUAUGUCGCGGAAUUGCCUAAUUUGGAAAUGCUGGGGCUGUGGAUGAACAAUUUCACCGGUGAGAUUCCUCAAAAACUUGGCCAAAAUGGGAAGCUUCACAUUCUUGAUUUGUCCUCAAAUAAGCUCACUGGUACAAUCCCGCAGGACUUGUGUUCCUCUAAUCAGUUGAGGAUUCUAAUUCUCCUGAAGAAUUUCCUCUUUGGGCCAAUCCCAGAAGGUCUGGGGACAUGUUAUAGUCUCACUAGAGUGAGGUUAGGGCAGAACUACUUGAAUGGAAGCAUUCCAAAUGGUUUCAUUUACUUGCCUCGGUUGAAUUUAGCAGAGUUGCAGAACAACGUCCUGUCAGGGAAUUUAUCAGAGAAUGGUAAUAGUUCAUCUAAACCUGUUAAAUUAGGCCAACUCAAUUUGUCAAACAAUCUCCUCUCGGGUCCUCUGCCAUUUUCGCUUUCGAAUUUCUCUUCCCUUCAAAUCCUUCUGCUCAGUGGAAAUCAAUUCUCAGGUCCAAUUCCAACUUCCAUAGGAGAACUCCAGCAAGUACUAAUGCUUGAUCUUAGCAGAAAUUCACUUUCAGGUCCAAUUCCACCUGAAAUAGGAAACUGUUUCCAUCUCACUUUCCUUGACAUGAGCCAGAACAAACUCUCUGGUUCAGUCCCACCAGAGAUAUCCAACAUCCAUAUCUUGAAUUACUUGAACUUUUCAAGAAACCACUUGAACCAAACAAUACCAAAAUCCAUUGGUUCCAUGAAAAGCCUCACUGUUGCUGAUUUUUCUUUCAAUGAUUUCUCCGGAAAGGUCCCAGAAUCCGGUCAGUUCUCCCUCUUUAAUGCCUCCUCUUUUGCAGGAAAUCCUCAACUCUGUGGUCCUCUACUUAACAAUCCUUGCAAUUUCACCACCAUCACAAACACACCAGGAAAAGCCCCCAGUGAUUUCAAGCUCAUCUUCGCUUUAGGCUUGCUGAUAUGCUCUCUGAUAUUUGCAACUGCUGCCAUAAUAAAGGCCAAGUCUUUCAAGAAAAACAGCUCAGAUUCUUGGAAGAUGACAGCUUUCCAAAAGCUAGAAUUCACCGUCACAGACAUCCUGGAAUGUGUAAAAGAUGGAAACGUAAUUGGUAGAGGAGGAGCUGGGAUUGUAUACCAUGGGAAAAUGCCAAAUGGGGUUGAAAUUGCAGUUAAAAAACUACUUGGUUUUGGCACCAAUAGCCAUGACCAUGGCUUUAGAGCAGAAAUUCAAACACUAGGCAACAUUAGGCAUCGAAACAUCGUUAGAUUGCUCGCUUUCUGCUCCAACAAAGAAACCAACUUGUUGGUUUAUGAGUACAUGAGAAAUGGAAGCCUAGGAGAAGCCUUACAUGGCAAAAAGGGUUCCUUCUUGGGUUGGAAUUUGAGGUACAAAAUUGCCAUUGAUGCUGCUAAAGGCCUGUGUUACCUUCACCAUGAUUGUUCACCAUUGAUUGUUCAUCGAGACGUAAAAUCCAACAACAUUCUAUUAAAUUCAAGCUUCGAAGCACACGUUGCAGAUUUCGGAUUAGCAAAGUUCCUCAUUGAUGGGGGAGCAUCGGAGUGCAUGUCAGCAAUUGCAGGGUCUUAUGGUUAUAUUGCUCCUGAAUAUGCAUACACAUUGAAGGUGGACGAGAAGAGUGAUGUGUAUAGUUUUGGAGUUGUUGCCUUGGAAAUUGUUAGUGGGAGGAGCAACACUAGUUACCGACAGAAUGUGAAGGAGGAAUGCUUUUAUCUACUUGACUGGGCACUUGUUUUAAAAGAAAAAGGAAGUUUAUUGGAGCUUGUUGAUCCAAAACUAGGGAAGAACUACAACAAAGAACAGGUGAUGACAUUGAUCAACGUGGCUCUGCUAUGUACUGGUGUCUCUCCAGUAGUUAGGCCUACAAUGUCUUCAGUGGUAAGUAUGUUGGAAGGCAAGGCCUCUAUUCAAGAUUUGGUUUUGGAUUCAAGUGUCUCACAAUCACAUAAUGAGAUGAGAAUUGAAGCAAUGAGGAAGCAUUUUCAGCACUGCAUUGACCAGGAUACAAGUACCAGCAUGACCCAAAGUAUGUCACUGGAUGGACCUUGGACUGGAUCUUCCACUUCUGCUCAGGAUCUUUAUCCACUCGUUAUGGAUUCUGAUUAUUGGGAGAAGAGAAAUUAGAUAAAUAGUUAAAAUUAUGAACAGUGUGUACAAGUAAACAGCAAUGGUUAAAAUUAUCAACAGUGUCUACAAGGAAACAGCCUCUCUGCAUAGUAGAGCAAGCCCAAGUGUGUAAUGUUUCGUGCACUAACUCAUCCCUUUUUUUAUCCUCCUUCCUUUGCUUUAUUAUUAUUAUUA
rnacentral:misc_RNA from 1 species